CCUACGGGUGGCAGCAGUGGGGGAUAUUGCACAAUGGGGGAAACCCUGAUGCAGCGACGCCGCGUGGGCGAAGAAGUAUUUCGGUAUGUAAAGCCCUAUCAGCAGGGAAGAAGAAAUGACGGUACCCGAGUAAGAAGCACCGGCUAAAUACGUGCCAGCAGCCGCGGUAAUACGUAUGGUGCAAGCGUUAUCCGGAUUUACUGGGUGGAAAGGGAGCGCAGGCGGCACGGCAAGCCUGAUGUGAAAGCCCGCGGCCCAACCGCGGGACUGCAUUGGGAACUACCGGGCUGGAGUGCCGGAGAGGUAGGCGGAAUUCCUAGUGUAGCGGUGAAAUGCGUAGAUAUUAGGAGGAACACCAGUGGCGAAGGCGGCCUACUGGACGGUGACUGACGCUGAGGCUCGAAAGCGUGGGGAGCAAACAGGAUUAGAUAUCCGGGUAGUC
rnacentral:rRNA from 1 species